GACGAACGCUGGCGGCGUGCUUAACACAUGCAAGUCGAACGGAAAGGCCCUGCUUUUGUGGGGUGCUCGAGUGGCGAACGGGUGAGUAACACGUGAGUAACCUGCCAUUGACUUUGGGAUAACUUCAGGAAACUGGGGCUAAUACCGGAUAGGAGCUCCUGCUGCUUGGUGGGGGCUGGAAAGUUUCGGCGGUUGGGGAUGGACUCGCGCCUUAUCAGCUUGUUCGUGGGGUAGUGGCUUACCAAGGCUUUGCAGGGUAGCCUGCCUGCGAGGGUGACCGGACACAUUGGGACUGGGAUACGGCACAGCCUCGACCGGGACGCAGCAGUGGGGAAUAUUGCACAAUAGGCGGAAGCCUGGUGCAGCAACGCCGCGUGGGGGAUGACGGCCAUCGGGUUGUAAACCGCUGUCGCCUGUCCCGAAGUGUGAGUGACGGUAAUGGGUAAAGAAGCUCCGGCUAACUCCGUG
rnacentral:rRNA from 1 species